GGGGACCCAAGGUCUGCUUCUGGAACAAGGAGGGCUCCCCUGCCUGCCCCACCCUCCAUAUGCUGAAUGGUGGUGGUCCCUCCUGCCCCACUGCAGCUCCCACAGAGCUCGUCUCCCCACCCUACCCCUGCCUGGUCAGAAAAACUCCAUUUAUCCUACAGGGUUCUGCGUGGUUGCUCCCGGAAGCCCACUAGGAUCUCCCGGGUAAGUGGAUGCCUGUUCCUCCCUGCUACAGGUGGAAUUGUGCCCCCGUCUUGAAGCCCCCAGUACCUCAAAAUGUGACUAUACUUGGAGAUAGAACCUUUUAAAAGGUCAUGGAAGUAAAAUGAGGUCAUUUGGAUGGGCCCCAGUCCAACAGGACUCAUGUCCUUUAAGAAGAGAUUAGGGCACAGAUACACACAGCAGAAAGACCACGUGAGGACACAGCCACAGUACAGCCACCUCCUAGCCAAAGGACGACCUCAGAAUACACCAGCCCUGCCGACACCUCAAUCCUGGACUUUCAGCCUCCACGACUAUGAGAAGCUCUGAGGCUCACAGAAGAAAUACACAGUUGGUGCCGGUGCAGUGACUCUGGGGCCACCAAAGGGUACAUCAGGCCCCAUCAGAUCUAGCCAGCGACCUGCAGCCCCCGACAAGCCUUCCUGAGCUUCCACCCCGGCUGCAGCCUUCUCCCCAUGUGCCCACGUACUUGGGCUGCUACUGCUGCCUGGGUCUGUCCGCUUGUCAGUCAGUGAAGUUUCCCCAAUCUGUUUAUAUUAGUUAUGCUUAUCAUAAUGGCAUUGUGUAAUUGAGUAUACACAAAAUGAUAAAAUAUGAAUAUGAAAGUGAUUUCUAUGCACACUCAUUAAAUGCCUUGAAAAGACUCAUUAAAGGUGAAUUGCUUUACAAAAUUGCUGUUGAGUUAAGCUUGGUGUGACCGCCAGUCUCCAAGAUGGCCCCAUGCUUCUUAUCUCUUGGAGUUCACACCGUGUGUGGCUCUCUCCCAUGUCGAAUCAAGACCGACUGGGAGACAUAGAAUACCAUGGGAGUGACACUCUGUGUGCUCCAAGGCUGGGUCACAGAAGGCGUUGCAGCCUUUGCUUGGUUCUCUGGGGUCUCUGGCUCUGGACGAAGCUGUCACACCAUGAAGAUGGCUCUUUGGAGGGGCCACAUGGAGAGGAGCUGAAGCCUCCUACCCGCAGCUAGCACCAGCCUCGGGAAUGAGGCAGUUUGGAAGCGGCACCUUCAGCACCAGGCAAUGCUCCUGAGGGCAGCUCCUGCUGACGUCGGCUGCAACCUCAGGGGAACCUUAUAGUCCAGUUGCUCCCACAUCCCUGCCCACAGACAACAUGAGAGAGUGUGAAUGAGGGUCGGUGCUGUAAGUGCUGGGGCGGCGUCGUUGGCUGGGCAGCAAUAGCCAACCAGCACAUCACAGGAAACAGGGGCCUAAGUGGAGUCUGCACCUUGUUGUUUACAAAUGUUUUUAAACUCGCAUUAUAUUAUUUUUUUUUUUGAGACAGGGUUUCACUGUCGCACAGACUGGAGUGAGUGGCACGAUCUUGGCUCACUGCAACCUCUGCCACCUGGGCUCAAGCCAUCCUCCCACCUCAGCCUCCCGAGUACCUAGGACUACAGGUGCAUAGCACCGCACCUGGCUAAUUUUUCUGUAUUGUUAGCAGAGACGGUGUUUCGUCAUGUUGCGCAGCCUGGUCUUGAACUCCUGUGCUCAAGUGAUCCACCCAUCUUGGCCUCCCACAGUGCUGGGAUGACAGAUGUGAGCAACCGUGCUGGCCUCUCAUUAGUUAAGAAGCAGAGGCUCCGAGUCAGGGGUCCCCCGGGCACCACAAUGCCAGAGUCGGUGUGUACUCUAACCACGUGGCCCAGGCCCAGGGAAGGCGUCGCACAGACAUCCGGAUAUGAUGGAUGAAAGUACUUUUGUAUGUUUUAGGUUAAAAAUAAAAAUAUAAGGAUAUAUGUGAACAUU
rnacentral:lncRNA from 10 species